rnacentral:rRNA from 1 species
UACGGAGGGUGCAAGCGUUGUUCGGAAUCAUUGGGCGUAAAGCGCGUGUAGGCGGCUUGGCAAGUCAGUUGUGAAAGCCCGGGGCCCAACCCCGGAAUUGCAUCUGAAACUGCCUGGCUGGAGUCCCGGAGAGGAAGGCAGAAUUCCCGGUGUAGGGGUGAAAUCCGUAGAUAUCGGGAGGAAUACCAGCGGCGAAGGCGGCCUUCUGGACGGUGACUGACGCUGAGACGCGAAAGCGU